rfam:Steinernema glaseri strain NC unplaced genomic scaffold GLAS_6520, whole genome shotgun sequence.
GGCCGAGUGGUCUAGUGGUACGAUGCCUGCUUCGGGUGCAGGAGGUCCCGGGUUCAAACCCCGGCUCGGCCC